AAGUCCUCUACCGAAGCAGGGUCUUAGGAUAAUUAGGUCGACAGUAAUCUGCAUAUAACAAGAAAAGCGCUGUGAUAUAUCUGUAGAAGAGGUAUCUUGGGACAUUCACAGACUUAUGUUCAUUGAGGCAGGCGUCUGUGUGGCCGUAUUUGUCAGCAUGCUGCUGUAUUUUCCCGCCAAACCUCCAACGCCUCCCAGUGUAUCCGCAUCCAAGAAGAGAGUGGACUACCGGAGAGGC